ACAGGGUGACAGGUGGUGCAUGGUUGUCGUCAGCUCGUGUCGUGAGAUGUUGGGUUAAGUCCCGCAACGAGCGCAACCCUCGCCUCUAGUUGCCAGCAUUCGGUUGGGCACUCUAGAGGGACUGCCGGCGACAAGUCGGAGGAAGUGGGGAUGACGUCAAAUCAUCAUGCCCCUUAUGACCUGGGCUACACACGUGCUACAAUGGGCGGUACAAAGGGCUGCGAACCCGCGAGGGGGAGCGAAUCCCAAAAAGCCGCUCUCAGUUCGGAUUGCAGGCUGCAACUCGCCUGCAUGAAGCCGGAAUCGCUAGUAAUCGCGGAUCAGCAUGCCGCGGUGAAUACGUUCCCGGGCCUU
rnacentral:rRNA from 1 species